GAAUUCUGCUUCCCCAGCAGGCUCAGAAGGAAGAAGUCUGCUUCAGGGGCCAGGCCUGGUCAAAGACUCCAUCUUCCCUGGAUGGCCAGAGUCAAAUCCUUGCAAAUCCCAUUCACCAUGGAGCAGAGACGAGACCUAUGUUACCCAGGCUGUAUGUGAAUUCCUGGACUCAAGCAAUCCUCCCAUCUCAGCCUCGUGAGUAGUUGGGACAAGUCUCACACCACCAUACCCAGCUUAAUUUAACUUGAAUUUUAA